rnacentral:rRNA from 1 species
UUGGAGGGCAAGUCUGGUGCCAGCAGCCGCGGUAAUUCCAGCUCCAAUAGCGUAUAUUAAAGUUGUUGCAGUUAAAAAGCUCGUAGUUGAAUUUCGAGACCGGCUUAUUGGUCGUGCUAUUGUACGUACUGGUAUAAUCGGUUUCUCCUUUCUGACGAACUAUAAUGCCAUUAAUUUGGUGUUUUAGGGAAUCAGGACUGUUACUUUGAAAAAAUUAGAGUGUUUAAAGCAGGCUCACGCUUGAAUACAUUGGCAUGGAAUAACGGAAUAGGACGUUUGAUUCUAUUUUGUUGGUUUCUAGGAUCGACGUAAUGAUUAAUAGGGAUAGUUGGGGGCAUUAGUAUUCAAUUGUCAGAGGUGAAAUUCUUGGAUUUAUUGAAGACUAACUACUGCGAAAGCAUUUGCCAAGGAUGUUUUCAUUAAUCAAGAACGAAAGUUAGGGGAUCGAAGACGAUCAGAUACCGUCGUAGUCUUAACCAUAAACUAUGCCGACUAGGGAUCGGAUGAUGUUAAUUUUUUAAUGACUCAUUCGGCGCCUUACGGGAAAC